GGCGAGAUGGCUCAGUGGUUAGAGCGCGAAUUUACUGACCGGAAGGUCCUUGGUUCAAACCCGACUUCCGCCU
rnacentral:tRNA from 1 species